rnacentral:rRNA from 1 species
GACGAACGCUGGCGGCGUGCCUAACACAUGUAAGUCGCACGGGACCGGGGGCAACUCCGGUUCAGUGGCAGACGGGUGCGUAACACGUGAGGAACCUGUCCGACGGCGGGGGAUAGCCGGCCCAACGGCCGGGUAAUACCGCAUACGAUCGUUUGGGGGCAUCCCCGAGCGAUGAAAGCAGCCGCAAGGUUGCGCCGAUGGAGGGUCUCGCGGCCUAUCAGCUAGUUGGCGGGGUAACGGCCCACCAAGGCGACGACGGGUAGCUGGUCUGAGAGGAUGGCCAGCCACAUUGGGACUGAGACACGGCCCAGACUCCUACGGGAGGCAGCAGUGGGGAAUCUUGGACAAUGGGCGCAAGCCUGAUCCAGCCAUGCCGCGUGAGUGAUGAAGGCC